CGUGUGCGUGCAUGUGGUUAGGGUUUGAGCUAAACGACCGCGUUUAGCUAGGGCGCGCCAAAUAUUCAAAUUAUUCCUCCCUUCGAUUCCCCGUGUCUGCACUAAUCCAAAUUGCGUUGCUGAAUUAUUUCAUAUGCUUCACCCAUUCAUAUUCAUGCUUCAUCAUUCAUUUUUAAUUUUUCUCUUCACUUAAAAAAUCAUAACUCCAUAAAUAAUUAUCCAAAUGACAUGGGAAUUUUUGCAUCUU
rnacentral:lncRNA from 1 species